CAGAAAAUAGUUUAAAAAAAAUAUUAAUUUUGGAGAUUAAUGAUAAAGAAUUUCUUUUUUUCUGA
rnacentral:tRNA from 1 species